GAGAAAAGAUUCGAGUUCAUGGAUAUAUCAAAAAGUGAUUGAUUUCGAAUUUGAGGAAAAAAUUCGAGUCCAUACUUCCAUGGAUAUAUCAUCCGUACUGUUGGAAGUGAAUCAAAGUAUAUCUAAUUCAUCAAUAUUUCUACCAUCCGUACUGAUAGAUUUAUGUUCAAAAUCAUGCUCACAAACUGUUUGUAUAAAUGUCUAAGUGAAUUUUUUUUAUGAUAUGAUCCGUUAAACGAGUUUGUGGAAGAAUGAAAUGUAAAGCAAGAAGUUUGAUCCGUUAAAUGAGAUGAUGAUGAUGUUGAUAAGUAGCAGGAAGAAUUAAAACAUACAUCAAGAAACUCGAAGAUAAAGGUAUUAUUGUAGGGUUAAAAACCAAAAAAAAACUCUCAUGAUUCUUUUGGGUUUUGCUUGGGACUGAUAUGAAUGCUAGGAAUGGGAAUUCGGAUACUUUGUGUUAAGUGCAGUGGAAUAGACACAUAUUCAUAAAUGAAUUCUAUUGGUAAGUCGUUUAUUCUUUUCAUGCUGAGACAUGAAGAUUGAAAAGGUAUGAGUUUUUAAAGUUUUUUAGCUAUUCUAAAUGUUAUUGGAAAGCUAAUAUAUGCAAUAUAUCAAUAAUUCUAUGUUUCAGGUUGCAUGGACGAAGCUUACCGUGUUGUCAAAAAAGGUUUUUGCACAAUUGGUCUUCAAGUGAUAUUGUCGUUAAAGUAGAUGAUAUAUCUUUCCAUAUACAUGAGGUUCCAUGAUAUAUAUGGACGAUGAUUUUGAAGGGUUAUGAUGGUUGUCUUCUUUGAUUGGCCAUGAGAAGGUUGUGAUGGAGCUUUAACUGGCGGGUGAACUGGUCCCUUGACUAGGACUUGAUGUUGGUGGAGUGGGGGUUAUGACCCGAGACAUCAUAGUAGCAGGGUUGCAUGGGGUAUCGAAAGAGAAUCCCUUGGCACCUCUCAUUAAAAGGUGUCGACUGCCAUUAUAUAGUACAAGUGGUGAUAAUUCAGUUUUGUAUGACCAUGAAUUAGAGAGGCAAGUUGGUUAACCCACUCAUGAGACCAUGUCAAGUGCUUAAUGGACAUAUAGAUAUCAUUUGAUCAAAUUAAGAAAUGGAUGCUUGGAUUUACUUUGGGGGUUUUCGUAUUACAAACAGAACUUAGCAAGCCUCACAUUAUAUUUCAGGGUGGGAUGAAAUUAGAAGAAACCAGGAGAGCUUUGUCGUGAACCAACAAUGGUCAUGUGGGCUGAAGGUGCUAUAUCGAAAACAGAAGCAUCUUUUGUUCAUUCGGUGCACCCACAUCUCCUAAAGUUUUAUAUUUUAGUAACAAUGUCAUUGGAGGUGAUUUCAGCCCAUGGGUUGUUAUUACUUCAUAUUUGUUAGAAAGAUUCAUUCAUCGUUUUGUGAUAAAAUAUGUGUUGGUUUUUGUAGUCAAGGUGAACUAUUUAGGCCAGUUGGUCCUCUUGAGGGUUAUAUUUACCCUUAGUGCUUAAAAGUUGGUCCUCUCGAGGGUUAUAUUUACCCUGAGUGCUUAAAAGUUGGUCCUCUCAAGGGUUAUAUUUACCCUGAGUGCUUAAAAGUUGGUCCUCUUGAGGGUUAUAUUUACCCUGAGUGCUUAAAAGUGAGUUCCUGUUUAUUUGAUGGAUGGCUCAAAAGUGAGUUCCUGUUUAUUUAGGCGCAAUUAUGUAAACAGUAAGCUUGUGUAACUAUCAGUCUUAAUUGCUAUGUAUGUUUCGAGAUAGUUGAAGAAUGCAGCUCCUUUGUACAAUUGAGGUAAAAACCAAGGUAAAAAAAGUUUUUGUUUAGAGUGUCAGAAUGUCUGGAUGUAGGUGGGGUUUAAUUAAAAAAGUUUUUUAUGUUUUGGAAGUGCCCAGGUACUGAUGAGGUUCCAAUUUCACUGAAACCUUUCAGUGGUUACCUUCCAAUGGUUACCUUCAUGGAUAAAUUCAUCACUGCUUGCUGAAGUGUAACUGAAAUGAAAGACUGAAUCACUUGCUGAAACAUGACUGGCAAGCUAGCUUCAUCACUUGUGGAUGCUUGAUGAUAGUAGUUCUCACUGACGGAAGGCAACACUCAUCAUUAGUAUAACAUUCGUUCGGGUUGUUAAUGAAAGCAUUGUUUGUUGCUCGCUGAAACUGAAGGAACUUGCUUGAUGAUCUAAACGAUUCCUGGUCAUAUCUUUGAAUCUGCUGUUGAAAUUGAAUGAAGUUUGAUGAAUUGUUCACUGACCGUUGCUAAAUGAAGCUGUAUCAGUGAUAGUAAUUGCUGAUUAAGACUUAAUCUAUAACUGUAAUUGAUUACUGGUUAAUCUAUAGCUUUUUG